AACGAACGCUGGCGGCGUGUUUAAGACAUGCAAGUCGCACGGGACUAUUUGAGUAGCAAUACAAGAAUAGUCUAGUGGCGCACGGGUGAGUAACACGUGAAUUACAUGCCCUGCAGAGGGGGAUAGCCCAGGGAAACUUGGAUUAAUACCCCAUGGUAUCGCGAGAUUAGAGGUGGCCGCAAGGCUGUCGCUGCAGGAUUGGUUCGCGCCCUAUCAGCUUGUUGGUGGGGUAACGGCCCACCAAGGCUACGACGGGUACCUGGUCUGAGAGGACGAUCAGGCACACUGGAACUGAGAAACGGUCCAGACACCUACGGGUGGCAGCAGUCGAGAAUAAUUCACAAUGGGGGCAACCCUGAUGGUGCAACGCCGCGUGGAGGAUGAAGGUCUUCGGAUUGUAAACUCCUGUCAUCCGGGAGUAAGACCUGGCGAUGAAUAGUCGACAGGGUUGAUAGUACCGGAAGAGGAAGGGACGGCUAACUUCGUGCCAGCCGCCGCCGUAA
rnacentral:rRNA from 1 species